GAGGAAUCCAAGGCCACAUGCGGUUUCGUCACUUGUCAAAGGUUAGCAUUGCCGAGGUUAGAACUGGGUCCCACUUUGAUCUGGUUCCAGAGCCUGAUCUCUUUACUGGUGUGUGGAGCGGACCGCAGGGAAACUGCUGCUCUCAGGAUGAGCUGCAGCUGUCUCAGUGUGGAACCAAGGUCUACAGUGGCUGCUGAGGUCAAUCUUAAAGAGAUGACUCACGCAUAAGGCCAAUCUACAUAAAUAGCAUGUGCUAAGAUUGCCAUCUGGUAGAACAAUCUACAUCACAAGACUCCACGUUUCCUGUUACCAGGCACCAGAGGACCAAGCGGCAGCUUCUCAAAAAGAGUUCAUUUUUUUGUGAUUUUGGGAUGUUACAUUACUCUCCAAUUUGAAAUGCCACAAAGGAAAAGAUUCUGGAGAAAUUUUACUCUGUUGCACAGAAACUGUGAAGUUAUUGGUGAACACUGAGGAUCUCGAUGCAUGGAUUCUUUUGUGUUACUGAUCAAUAUUAAGCAUGGAUUUUACUCUUCUUCUGAAGGGCUUGGCUUAAAAAUAAACUAGUGCAGCACUUUC
rnacentral:lncRNA from 1 species